rnacentral:snRNA from 1 species
GUGUUUACUUCAGCCACACAUGUACUAAAAUUGGAAUGGUGCAGAGAUUAGCACAGCUCCUGCACAAGGGUGACACAAAAAUUCCUGAAGCAUUCCAAAUUUUU